CAGAACCACAGACCUUGUUUACUUUGCUUGGAGGCUUACCUGCUGCAGUAAAUCCCAGUCUGGGAUUAACUAGCCACUGGAAAUAUGCAUGCUAAUGAUCCCACUCAGCCUGAUUUAUUCUUAGUGAGACACUAAAGUGGGCACACUGGGUUGGAGUGAGCACACAAGCCAAAUUUCUGCAGGUUGGGCAUAGCCAAGGAGUCCUAGAAGGAAGAGGACUAGCUCAUACUCAGCCCUGCAACAGCACAGGCACAAGAAAGGCACAUAUAGUUCCAGAUAAAUUUUAACUUAUCCAGUUUAAUAUUGCUGAUGAUGUCCUCAGCAGUUCUCUCCCCAGUUAUUCUUUGGUCAACUGAAUGGGUCUGUAAACAGAAAAUAACAACUUGUGAAAGUGACAUGCAUUUGUCUGCUAGUCACCAGCUCUGCUCAUACUCUUUCUUGUUGAUUUCAGUUGCAGUCAUGCUAUUUCUUCUAACAACAAAAAAAUUCUCUGAAAAUUUAAGGAUCAUAAAUCUCUUCAAACUCUCCAAGCAGAGCCCACCAGAAAGUUGCUAUAAUAGUUCAUGGUCAAAGAGAUGAUGGAUACAUCUAUCAAAUAGAAGCAGCCUGAGAUACAAUUUAUGUAUGUUUGCCUUCAG